rnacentral:rRNA from 1 species
UAAACUACGUGCCAGCAGCCGCGGUAAUACGUAGGUGGCAAGCGUUGUCCGGAAUUAUUGGGCGUAAAGCGCUCGCAGGCGGUUCUUUAAGUCUGAUGUGAAAUCUUACGGCUCAACCGUAAACGUGCAUUGGAAACUGGGGAACUUGAGUGCAGAAGAGGAGAGUGGAAUUCCACGUGUAGCGGUGAAAUGCGUAGAGAUGUGGAGGAACACCAGUGGCGAAGGCGACUCUCUGGUCUGUAACUGACGCUGAGGAGCGAAAGCGUGGGGAGCGAACAGGAUUAGAUACCCUGGUAGUCCACGC